UGCUGAGAAAGGCUCCUCACCCACGGCAGUGCUCUCAGUCCUUUAACAGGGGAGUGGAUAAAGAAGAUGUGGUACAUGUACACAAUGGAAUACUACUCAGCCAUAAAAAAGGACGAAAUAAGGCCAUUUGCAGCAACAUGGACGGACCUAGAGAUUGCCAUACUGAGUGAAGCUGGGUGCUCUGGGGAGAGGAGCGAUGGCCAUGGGAGGGGCACCAGGGCCCGACCCCAUCGAAAUGAGGUGGUGGAAGGAGAAACAGUCCCGUGACGGGCACCGUGGGCUUGGUCACCAGAGGCUACAUGAGCUGUGACGACAUCACCCCAGACAACUAACGGGACGUGUGCUGUGUAUCCUGGUGUUUUAAAUUCGUCUUGGUUUUAAUUUCUAAUACAGUGAAUAUGAAUAGAUAUAACCUACAUACACAAAAGCUCUGUGG